rnacentral:rRNA from 1 species
GUAGGGAAUAUUGGACAAUGGGCGAAAGCCUGAUCCAGCCAUGCCGCGUGUGUGAAGAAGGUCUUCGGAUUGUAAAGCACUUUAAGUUGGGAGGAAGGGCAGUAAGUUAAUACCUUGCUGUUUUGACGUUACCGACAGAAUAAGCUCCGGCUAACUUCGUGCCAGCAGCCGCGGUAAUACGAAGGGUGCAAGCGUUAAUCGGAAUUACUGGGCGUAAAGCGCGCGUAGGUGGUUUUGUAAGUUGGAGGUGAAAUCCCCGGGCUCAACCUGGGAACUGCCUCCAAAACUGCAUGACUAGAGUACGGUAGAGGGUAGUGGAAUUUCCUGUGUAGCGGUGAAAUGCGUAGAUAUAGGAAGGAACACCAGUGGCGAAGGCGACUACCUGGACUGAUACUGACACUGAGGUGCGAAAGCGUGGGGAGCAAACAGGAUUAGAAACCCGGGUAGUCC